CCGGACCUGCCAGGAAGGGCCUUAUCAGCUUCCCAAGCUGAAUGUCGUCGGUUCGAUCCCGAUCGCCCGCUCCA
rnacentral:tRNA from 1 species